rnacentral:rRNA from 1 species
UUAGUUUGAUCCUGGCUCAGAUUGAACGCUGGCGGCAUGCCUAACACAUGCAAGUCGAACGGAAACGAUGGGGGCUUGCUCCCAGGCGUCGAGUGGCGGACGGGUGAGUAAUACUUAGGAAUCUACCCAGUAGCGGGGGACAACUCGAGGAAACUCGAGCUAAUACCGCAUACGCCCUACGGGGGAAAGCAGGGGAUCUUCGGACCUUGCACUAUUGGAUGAGCCUAAGUCGGAUUAGCUUGUUGGUGAGGUAAAGGCUCACCAAGGCGACGAUCCGUAGCUGGUCUGAGAGGACGAUCAGCCACACUGGGACUGAGACACGGCCCAGACUCCUACGGGAGGCAGCAGUGGGGAAUAUUGGACAAUGGGGGCAACCCUGAUCCAGCAAUGCCGCGUGUGUGAAGAAGGCCUGCGGGUUGUAAAGCACUUUCAGUAGAGAAGAAAAGCCUACGGUUAAUACCCGUGAGUCUUGACGUUACCUACAGAAGAAGCUCCGGCUAACUCCGUGCCAGCAGCCGCGGUAAUACGGAGGGAGCGAGCGUUAAUCGGAAUUACUGGGCGUAAAGCGCGCGUAGGCGGCUUUGUAAGUCGGAUGUGAAAGCCCUGGGCUCAACCUGGGAAUGGCAUUCGAUACUGCAGAGCUAGAGUAUGGUAGAGGGAAGUGGAAUUUCCGGUGUAACGGUGAAAUGCGUAGAUAUC